rnacentral:lncRNA from 1 species
GUGGUGACCUGGGAAUCAAUGUGUGAGGUGGUGCUAUGUAGCAGGAACCCCUCUUGCUUUGCAAAUAGUUUUUUGUUUGUUUUCCUUUUUGCCCAAUAGAGCCCUGCUCUACUGACCCUUCAAUGUGCCCGUGUGCCUAAAUAUUCCUGGUCGUGUGAAAAGAACCCAGGUAUUAGCUGAACUAAGGAGCACAAUUCUGCAACAUUUUGGCACCCAAACACGGGGCUUGAGAAAUGAAUGCAAUUGGAGAAACUGGUUGUUUUACCAGGCGUUGAUUGGAAAUGUGUGCUUCCCUUUAAGCAGUCAAGCUCAACUUGCAGAACUGAUGGGAACCCCUUGGGAAAACUGGCCUCAAAUGUUUGUCUACACAGUCCACAUACAGGGUUCUUAACCUGCGGAAACACUUUCUGAAAAUGUCAGAACUCUUGAAAACAUGGAUGAGGAAAAGCAUAAGUACUGCUUUAUGCUUUUCUUAUGAAUUUUAAAAGAUGUAAUUUAAAGGUACUUUAAAGUGAUAUUUGUGCCCUUGUAACUGAUUCAAAGUAGACUGCUAAGGACAAUAAGUAAUAAGAGUCUACAAAUAUCAGUAAAUUAUGAGAAAAAACGGUCUAAUGGUACUUAAAAUUGCAUUGUGAUUUAUUAAAUAACAUUGAACAGCUCCACCUGUAACAUUAAGAUUCCAUUUGAGCAUAUAGAAAAUAUAUUUAUCGCAACCUGAAGUGAUUUGGAAAGUAUGCUGGGAAGAAAAUAUAUUUACAAAUUAGUCUCAGAGGGUAGGUAUCCUGUAGCCAGAUGGAAUAAGAAGAGAGGGAAGGGAGAUUUUGUUCAAAGGGGGAGCAUAAGCUAAGGAAUAAAGCCACAAACAAUGAUUAAAUUAGGUAAAGUGCAAUUAGCUGAAUAUUGCAUAAGCAUACAUAUGGGAAGAAGUGGAAAAAGGAGUGACAAUAUGAAGCUAAAGGGUUUGAAGUGUUCAAGAUAAUACUAGGCUUCCUAGCCUAUUCCGAGACAUCUUGUUUUAGAGUGCAAUAGAUAAGAACUCUAAGGAUGAAAGUAGGAGACAUGCAUUCUAGUCUACGUUUUGGUUAAUGGACUGAAAGUGAAAGAUGGACUGAAAUUGGGGGAUGGAAUAAAAAUGUGAUAGAAUAGAAAAUAGAAAAAGCAAUUAGCCUAAUGUCAUUGAUACUUAGAGAAAAUAUGGAAAAUAGUAAAUUAGUGAUAUAUAUCUUUUCUAAUUCACCAGGGUGAGUGAACAAAGGAAAUCGGAUUUAAAAGUAUUCAUGACAUAGAUGCAAUAAGGUUUCUCAGUCAGACAUAGCAAAUUGAGGGAAGGGAAGAUUUAGAGGAUUGGAAAAUGUCUUGCUUGUAGACUAAUAGGAUAUCAAUAAGCCAUAUGAGCAAUAAUUUGAAAUAGUUUUUGUAAAGUAUCAUGAAGGUAAACCCUGUUUAGAACAAAUUAGAUUUGAAGUACUUGUGACAAAUGCAAUUGACAAUGCCUUUAUGCAGCUGGAAAAUUGUUGCUUAGCAGAAAAGCUUGUGCUGGACAAAUAGAUGUCCAAAUUGAAUAGAUGUUUUCUUAAGCUGAACUAAUUGAGACAAAUAUCCUUAUUAAAUCAAAAAAUUAAAAAUUGAAAUAACUUACCUAUGAUAGGGUAAAUAAUGUUAUUAAUAUACACAAGAAAUAUGUGAUGUAUAUGUGUAUGUACAUAUGUAUACAUAGUAAUAAUACAUAGUGCUAUUUUUAAAUGAUAUUUUACAUAGUGCUUUUUUAAAUGAUUUUUCAAUCAUCGUUGUUGGUCUGUGUUAUUUUAAUCAUCAAAGCUGAUUGAUUUCUGUUUUUGUGUUUUUUUUUGUUUUUUUUGAGGUGGAGUCUCACUCUGUCACCCAUGGUGGAGUACAGUAGUGCGGUCUUAGCUCACUACAAACUCCACUUCCCUGAUUCAAGUAAUUCUUGUGCCUCAGCCUCUCGAGUAGCUUGGAUUGCAGGCAUGCACCACCACGAGCUGCUAAAUUUUUUGUAUUUUUUGUAGAGGGGUUUUGCCAUGUUGGCCAAGCUGGUCUCAAACUCCUGACCUCAAGUGAUCCGCCCUGGCUUCCCAAGCCCAGCUGAUUCCUGUUUAAAUAAAAACUUACAAAGAUCUUCCCACAAGUACUUUAUCUUACAAUUUACUGAACAAUAGAGGCAGUGAAGAUGUUUUUCAGAAAGCAAUUGUGAUCCUGACAUUUUCUUCUUAUAAUCCUGUGCUUUCCUCAUUUUUUUAUAUUAAAAGUAAUAGUUCUUGUGAUGGCAACUAGGAUUUGUAACAACAUGUACCCUCAUUUCCUGCAUGACCUUUUUUAUGUCACUUCUUCACAUGCAAAGUAUACUCCCUCAGUGUCAUUACAUUAUUUGAUUUUUGCCCUUUCCCUCACCUUUCCAUGUGUUUAUUUGCCUAUGCCCAUCUCCUAGUCACAUUUUAUCUAGUUAACGCCAACUUGACUUUCAAUGCUGUUCAAGAUUUACCUCAAUCUCAAGUGUUUUCUCUUUAUAUUCCAUACACGCUUAGCUUGGCUGCCAAUCCUCUUGGCUGCCAAAGAAUCCCAAAUUAUCUCUUUCAAAAAUACAAGAAAUAAAGGAUGGAGGAUAGGAAGGAGGGUGGUCAGGAAAGAACAAAGAAAGGAGGGGAGAGGAAAAAAAGAGAGAAAGAAAGAGAAUUAAAGUUAAGGAGGAAGAAUUUCACACUGAAUUAAAAUUGAUAAUAUUCAGGAAUGAUUUUAUAGUAGGCAUACAUUGAUAAAUAUUAGUUAAAUUAAUGAAUUAUUCCAAAAGAUCAUGAUUUGUAAAAAUUACCCUGAAGCACUUUAGGAAUAUUACAUUGAAAUAGGUAUGCAAUUUCUAAAGAAACUGGACUGCAAAAAUAGCCAUUGUGUGUACCUGUGGACCAGAAUAUUAUAUUUUGCUUAAGUUUGAAGUGUUAAAGUGCCCAACGUGCUCUUAUUUUAACCUAGCAAAUUUUCAGCAGAACUUAAGCUCAUAUAGUAUUUGAUUUUUUCAUUUCUCACAACUGUUGGAAUUCUGUUUUAUUGAAAAUUAUACAAUAAAAUGUUAAAAAAUCUUUGUUCCUGCAGUUAUGCAAUCUUAUGCCAAAGUCAAUAAAUUAUUAAAUUAAAAUCAAACCCACUAAGCCUAACAAUUUGAGAAAAUGAUUAUUAAAACAUAUACCAUUUAGAAGGGCAAUGCCUUUUUAAUAUUAUAGUGAAGACAACCCUAUCAAUUAUUUAAUACACCAAGAAUACAAGGAUAUAAAAUCUUUUUCUCUCAUAUAUCACAUUAUCUGAUGUAUUUAGCUGUGAUGACAUUCCAGAAAACAUCACUUUUUAAAAUUUCUAAGAUUUUAUUAUGUUGCUAGCAAAUCGAUUUUUUUCAAGUACUGUAACAAAAUCCCUAAAUGGGCUUUAUGAGAACUAUUUUCAGUGUGAUAUUAAUCAUAUUUUAUUUAUCAUCCAUACAUAGAUGGUAGCUUAUCUGGUAUUCCUAGUGUUUGAAGUGAAGAGUAACACACACACACAUCCCAAUACCAAUUUAAUUGAUAAAUAUAUAAUCAUUUGUUUUCAAAUAUUUAUGUUGAUACUUGCUUGUGUACUUACUUGUAAUGUAGGUCUGUAAAAGGGACUGUUUUCUUUCUGUGAAACUGAAGCUUAAAGCAGUGCUUGUCACAAAUUCAAAAUCACCUUGCUUUGUCAACAUUUUCAGAUGUUUUUGGCUCAGUCUGAUGACAGCAUCAGUGCAGUAAAGGGAUCUUAUUGAAAUGUUUUAACUAAAGAUAAAAUGCCACCACUAGGAGAAAAAUAAAAUCAAGGAAAUAAACAGAAAAUCAAUAAAUGUGAAAUGUAUUAUAAAUUUAUAUAAUAACAAUGUUGUAUGCUAUAAACAUCUCACUUUGUAAAAUUAACAAGAAUUCAGUGAGGCAGAUCAUUUUCUAUGUGUUCAGAAGUCAAGUCUUUGAUGGCUAAUUUUUAUAUUACUUCAUUACAAUAUCUCUACUGAAGCAAAAUAAUUGCAAAUCUUUUUGAAUGAAAUCAAUUUAUCUUUAAUUUUAGAUAAUAUUUGGUAUAGUUGGCAUAGUUUUGUCACAAAGCAUAGCUAACAUCAAUGUAGCCUUACGACUUCAAAUGUCUUUAUAGAUCUUUUCUGAAAUUGCAAAAUUUUACUUUGAAAUUAUUGUUAAUAUUUACGUUGCACAACCACAAAUGUAGAAAUAAAAUUAUAAAGUCUCCAGAUAAUGUUUUAUUUUAACCACACAUAUGUUGUGAUAGUUUCAAAUAAAUGAAAGCUCUACUGAUUUAUCAUUUUCAACAUCUUUACAUUAUUUAAGUAAUAUUAAUUAUAUUUAUGUAAAAAUACCUGAAUAGUCAUAACGAAAAUUUAAUAAUAAUGUAUAAUAUAUUGUUAACAUCUUUUAUUUUCACAAAAACACCAAGGAAGAAGCAGUGAGUAUUUUUUAUUUAUUUUAAAAAUUAACUUUUCAAUAAAUUAUUUAGGAAUGACUGGAAAUGUGCUGAGACAAAGAAGCAGUUGUCACUGUACACAAACAUGAAAUCAAUUACCUUUUGGAGAGUUUAUGAUGUGUGAGAGCUAGUGAAGUUACAUUGCAGAAGAGCAUAUAAGGAAAUCCAGAUCUGUAUAUAUUGUAGUAUAGUUUUAGUAUAAAUCUCUAAGAUUACACUUUAGACUAAGCCACAUAGUCAAACUGUUGUCUAUUUAUUCCUUUUGAAGAUUGAAACUCCCACAACUUUGGCAGACCAACUCCUCAGAAAACAUUAUUCUUUGACAUCAAUAUGUUUUGCACAAAAUUGAAUGGCAAGUGAAAGGCAUCAAAUGAUGGAGUCUUGUUCUGUGGUCCAGGCUAGAGGGCAGUGGCAUGAUCUCGGCUCACUACAAGCUCUGCCUCCCGGGUUCACGCCAUUCUCCUGCCUCAGCCUCCUGAGUAGCUGGGACUACAGGCGCCCGCCACCACGCCUGGCUAAUUUUUUGUAUAUUUACUAGAGAUGGCUAGUGUUAGCCAAGAUGGUCUCGAUCUCCUGACCUCGUGAUCUGCCCACCUCAGCCUGCCAAAGUGCUGGGAUUACUGGCGUGAGCCACCGUGCCUGGCCAGCAUCCUCUAAUUAUUAUUCAUAGUUUGUGAAUUUAGGCCUACGUGAAUAAUAAUAUAAUAUUUACUAUGAUGUUACUAUCUACCAACCUUAUUUUUCUUUUCUAUAAAAUAGGAGCCAAAAUAAUAUUUAUGUCAUACCUUAUGAAGUUAAAAUAAAAUAUAACGAAUGAGGGGCUUAACA